ensembl:lncRNA
GCAGUCAACCUGGGCACAAGCAGAAUUCUACAGCCAAGGCUGUGAAGAGAGAUCCACAUGGAGUCUGCUAGUAAGGGAGGAGGAGCGGUCUGGUUAGGACCAAUACUUCCCAAGGGGCACACAGGAGAGGAGAGAGUGUUACAGGGUCAGGAAUCCUCCCUGGAGAGUGAGGACUUAGACCUACACCUUAAGUACCCCAGCCCUUUGGUACUGAUACUGCUAAGACAAGCCUCUUAACUGGAAAACCGGUGAGGAUUACUGGAAGACUGAGAGACUCUGCUCUUGAAAACAGCACACACACACAUAUUUGCUUACUUCCUGUCACAGCACAAAGGCAGUGGGUUAAAAGUUGCCUGUUGCUCCUGCUGGCUCCCCAGGGUCGCCCCAGUGCCCCCAGGUCCUCACCGGGCUCCUGUUCCAGCCCCUCCUGCUCUGGUGCUUCUCCCCACUGGGCAGGGGCUGCCAUUGCCAUUGAAGGGGUGCAGGCUUUGAGGGAGCGAAGUCAGCUGGGACCCUGGUCCCACUUCUGACUGGGGAGGAGGCUGCCAUUGCCAGCACACACCUUGGUGCACGUACUCGAGAGGGAGUGAGACCAGCUCCCGAGUGGAGAUAGCCCCCGCCAGAGCGUCUGUCACUGUGCGCACUCUCUGAAGGGAGAGGGGAAGCUGAAGCAUGGAGACCUCCAGCCCUGGGGCGUGCAUCCCCUGUGCACACUCGGGAGGGAGUGGGACCAGCCCGGUGGCGCGGCAGCUGCUGCUCAGACCCCAGCCCAUCAUGUAACUAAGGCACACACGGGUGUGCACGCUAAGUCCCUCCAGCUGCGCCCAGCUCUUUGUGACCCCAUGGACUGUGUGUAGCCCACUGGCUUCUCUGUCCAUGGGAUUCUCUGAGAAUACUAGAGUGGCUUGCCAUGCACUUCUCCAGGGAAUCUUCCUGACCCAGGGAUCGAAACCGUGUCUCUUAUCUGUUGCAUGGCAGGCGGGUCCUCACCACCAGCACCACCUGGGAAGUGCAGCUGCAAGACCUCCCACCCCAGCAAGGUCCCAAACCAGGGUGGAGGCUGCCAUCCAACCUGGGAGGAGCCCAGUGCUCUCAGGGCUCCCGCUGCACCUCCUAGGGCCACAGUCCACCUCCAACAGGGCGGUGACGGCCACUGCACAGGGGGGAAGCUCCCCCUCCAAGCCACGGGGCACACACACUCUGCACAGGGCUGCUUCCUCAAGAGGACGUGCCUUCAUGACCGGCAUAGGUGACAGCUUCACUUAGUUUCAAAGAGAGAGGUAAACAAAAUGAGCAGACAAAGAGACAGGUUUCAAAUGAAAGAACAAGAACAUAAUCCAUGAAAAAAUCUGAGUGAAACAGAGAGAUAACUUACCUGACAAAGAGUUUGAAUCAAUCGUAACUGAACUUGGGAAAAGGACAGUUGAACACAGUGAGAAUUUUAACAAAGAGUAAGGAAGUAUAAAAAAGAACCAGUCAGAGCUGAAGAAUACGAUAAAUGAAAGGAAAACUGCGCUAAAGGGAAUUAACAGCAGAUUAGAUGGUUCAGAAGAAUGUUUAAGCAAUCUGGUAGAUAGAAUAAUAGAAAACACUCAACCAGAACAGCAAAAAGAAAGACAGAUUUAGAAAAAUGAGGAUAAUGUUCGGAACUCUAUGACAACAUCAAGCAUGCCAACAUUCGUAUUUUAGGAGUCCCAGGAUAAAAGAGAGAGAAAAAUGUAUUCAGUACUUUGAAUUCCCACAGCACUUAGCUAGAAUCUUUUCAAGCCUUUGCUACCUAAAUUUCAGUGUUUAUUUUUCUUACCCCUCCAGCCCCGACUCUGCCCCUAGACUUUAACUCUUGGGUAUAUGGCAUGAAUCUUACUUAUUUUUAUACCUUGCUCUUAAUGAUAUAUAGUAAAACUUAAUAAAUACAUAGUCUAUUAAAUUUCCAGAAGUCAGUAGUGCUUCAGAUUGUAAGUGAACAGUGGUGGUUACAUAUGUAUUUUGACCUCAACUAUCUAGUUAAUAAACCAAUAUUAUACUGCUUGAGACAAAUCAACAAUCACUGCUUAAUUUUUUCUGAGAAUAACAUACAUUGGCUGGAGAAUCCAAAGGACAGAGGAUCCUGGCGGGCUACAGUCCAUAGGGUCGCAGAGUCAGCUAUGACUGAGGUCACUUAGAACACACGCACGUUAUAUAUGCAUGUGAGAAGAGCACGCAUUAUGUAUACAUUUUACUAUUAUCCAAGAGAUUUCAUAUAUUUUAUCUCCAUUUCACCCUAAAUUGCUCUGGUGAUGUAGGUGUGAGUCUCCUGCUUUAUAGAUAAAGAGGCUGAGGCUUUGGGAGGUAGGUGCCUUGAUCCAGAUCAUAGAGUUAGGUCACCCAAAGGCUGAACUCAAACCCAGGACUGUCUGAUUUCUGAGUUCUUGCUCUCUCUGUGUUUUCCUCUGCUUCUCUUUAUAGAUCACAGAACACAAACACAGCUAAGUCUCUGGAUUCCCAAACGGAGGUUUCAUAAUUUGUUAUUGUCAGAUGUUUUUCUGUGGAAUCACUUCAAUGUAACUGAAAAGUGUUUCUUAAAAAUACAGCCUGAACUGCCUUAUGGUGUUCACACAUAUUCCUGGGUCCACAGAAAACCAGGGCCUGAGAUGCCAGAUCCGGAAAUGGUGAGCUGAAACACCAGGGAGACAUGGUCCUCCUCGCAGCUCAGCCUCUGGUUCUCAUGAAAGGAAAAGCUGACCACUGAGCUGCAAGGGUCAGCUAAUAUAUAGGAUCAAAACGCCUUAUGGUGGCCAAGAAGAAUUUUUCAAAUGCUGAGAAAGGCAGCAUUCUUGAGACUGACAUGCAUUUUAGAAAAUGGGAAAUAGAAGUCAAAGACUAAUAUGAGUUGAGUAUCCCCUAAUCAAUUUCCUAAAAUUAGACCUGAAGGGCACUGCCCCAUAGGUAGGACAACGCUCACUUUGCAGUUGAGGAAACUGCAGGUCAAGGAUUCUUCCAAAGCCCUGGUUGUUUUCUCUGAACCAGCUGUUUGUGAACGAUGAGUUAGAUAGAACCCAGAGUUCUUCCGGGACCUCAGGGAUUGGUGAAGAGGCAGAGCAGAGGAGGACAAGAUGCAGUCAAACAGGUACUUGUGGAACUUCAAUUAAAAUAGCAGAUUAUCUUAUUUCUUUUUGAAAAAUAAGCNNNNNNNNNNNNNNNNNNNNNNNNNNNNNNNNNNNNNNNNNNNNNNNNNNNNNNNNNNNNNNNNNNNNNNNNNNNNNNNNNNNNNNNNNNNNNNNNNNNUUAAAAUAGCAGAUUAUCUUAUUUCUUUUUGAAAAAUAAGCUUUACAUGUAAGAUUUAUGUUCAUAAAAGAUAGUCAAGUCUUUUAAGAAACUUUAAAAAACAUUGUAAAAUAUUCUGUCUACAUGUCUUUCUUGAUUUCUUCAUAGUCAGGUUCUGCAGCUUGGUUACGGAGUGACAGGCUUUAGGAAACGACCUCCAUUCUGAGCAGGGGGAGCAGAGCCAAGCCUUCUUUUUUAAAACUAGAUCAGAAUUGAAAGAGACAUGUGUACCCCAAUGUUCAUCGCAGCACUGUU